CAGAUUAUGGAUUGGAUAUGUCUACUUCUGGAUGCAAAUUUUACUGUUGUUGUAAUGAUGCCAGAAGCAAAGAGGCUACUGAUAAAUCUUUACAAGCUUGUAAAAUCUCAGAUAUCUGUUUAUUCCGAGCUCAACAAGAUUGAAGUAAGUUUUCGGGAGCUACAGAAAUUAAAUCAAGAAAAGAAUAAUAGAGGAUUAUAUUCAAUUGAAGUGCUGGAGCUCUUCUGAUAUUACCAACUCUCCUUCAUAGACAUUUUAUAAAGCUCUUUUAUGUGAACUCUUGCUUCAUCCAGGCAAGAACGGUGUUUUGUUUGCGACUAUCUCGGUGUCAGGAGAAACGUGUCAGUGAGUACCUGGACCAUCACUUACUGAUGCUCCGGGGUAGGACUACAGGUUUCACACGAACCUAUUCUAGGUUGUGGACAUUGGUGCGGAGAGGUUCUGCAAUUUUUUAAAAAUAUGUAACUGGGUUGAUUUUAAGUAAAAUUAUUUGUGUAUUGAUAAAAGUCUAAUUUCUUAUGUGUUUUGAAUUGUUUUUCUUUUAAUAAAAAACAACCAUUGAAGCAGUGA